GUAGGUGGCAAGCGUUGUCCGGAAUUAUUGGGCGUAAAGCGCGCGCAGGCGGCUCUUUAAGUCUGAUGUGAAAGCCCACGGCUCAACCGUGGAGGGUCAUUGGAAACUGGAGAACUUGAGUACAGAAGAGGAAAGCGGAAUUCCACGUGUAGCGGUGAAAUGCGUAGAGAUGUGGAGGAACACCAGUGGCGAAGGCGGCUUUCGGGUCUGUAACUGACGCUGAGGCGCGAAAGCGUGGGGAGCAAACAGGGAUUAGAUACCCUGGUAGUCCACGCCGUAAACGAUGAGUGCUAAGUGUUAGGGGGUUUCCGCCCCCUUAGUGCUGCAGCUAACGCAUUAAGCACUCCGCCUGGGGAGUACGGCCGCAAGGCUG
rnacentral:rRNA from 1 species